rnacentral:rRNA from 1 species
AGUGAACGCUGGCGGUAGGCCUAACACAUGCAAGUCGAACGGCAGCACAGGAGAGCUUGCUCUCUGGGUGGCGAGUGGCGGACGGGUGAGGAAUACAUCGGAAUCUACUUUUUCGUGGGGGAUAACGUAGGGAAACUUACGCUAAUACCGCAUACGACCUACGGGUGAAAGCAGGGGAUCUUCGGACCUUGCGCGAUUGAAUGAGCCGAUGUCGGAUUAGCUAGUUGGCGGGGUAAAGGCCCACCAAGGCGACGAUCCGUAGCUGGUCUGAGAGGAUGAUCAGCCACACUGGAACUGAGGCAUGGUCCAGACUCCUACGGGAGGCAGCAGUGGGGAAUAUUGGACAAUGGGCGCAAGCCUGAUCCAGCCAUACCGCGUGGGUGAAGAAGGCCUUCGGGUUGUAAAGCCCUUUUGUUGGGAAAGAAAUCCAGCUGGUUAAUACCCGGUUGGGAUGACGGUACCCAAAGAAUAAGCACCGGCUAACUUCGUGCCAGCCGCCGCUGUAA